rnacentral:rRNA from 1 species
AUUGAACGCUGGCGGCAUGGCUAAAACAUGCAAGUCGAACGUGCCCGCAAGGGCAAGUGGCGAAAGGGUCAGUAACGCGAUCGAAUGUACCUAUGGGUUGAGGAUAGCCGUGGGAAACUGCGGGUAAUACUCGAUGAUGUCUCCGGACCAAAGAUUUAUCGCCCUAAGAGCAGCGAUCGUCCUAUCAGGUAGUUGGCGGGGUAAAGGCCCACCAAGCCUAAGACCGGGUAGCAGGUGUGAGAGCACGACCUGCGACAUCGGGACUGAGACACUGCCCGGACUCCUACGGGAGGCUGCAGUAACGAAUCUUCCGCAAUGGGCGCAAGCCUGACGGAGCAAUGCCGCGUGUGGGAUGAAGCGGCUACGCCGUGUAAACCACUGUCAGGGACUAGAACCAAUGAUCAGUCCCAAAGGAAGAGCCGGCUAACCCUGUG